rnacentral:rRNA from 1 species
GCCAGUGACGAUAGCACGUUGGAUGUACCAGUUCCUAAUGGGUCACUGAAGUUAAGCAACGUUGCACGUGGUUGAUAUCCGGAUGGGUAACUAUGUGGGCACGAUUGCCCACAUAGUCACGUGCU